rnacentral:rRNA from 1 species
UACAGAGGAUGCAAGCGUUAUUCGUCAUUAUUGGGCGUAAAGGUACGCAGACGGUCUUUUGGCAGUUUAUUUAAAAAGGCCAGGGUUUAACUCCGGUAACGAAUUUAAACGCAAGGACUAGAGUUAUUAAGAAGAUAGCGGUACUUUUAAAGUAGAGAUGAAAAACGUAGAUGUUAAAAAGACCACCAACGGCGAAGGCAGCUAUCUAUUAAUAAACUGACGUUGAGGUACGAAGGCAUGGGUAUCAAACAGG